UAGGGAAUCUUCCGCAAUGGGCGAAAGCCUGACGGAGCAACGCCGCGUGAGUGAUGAAGGUCUUCGGAUCGUAAAACUCUGUUAUUAGGGAAGAACAAAUGUGUAAGUAACUAUGCACGUCUUGACGGUACCUAAUCAGAAAGCCACGGCUAACUACGUGCCAGCAGCCGCGGUAAUACGUAGGUGGCAAGCGUUAUCCGGAAUUAUUGGGCGUAAAGCGCACGUAGGCGGUUUUUUAAGUCUGAUGUGAAAGCCCACGGCUCAACCGUGGAGGGUCAUUGGAAACUGGAAAACUUGAGUGCAGAAGAGGAAAGUGGAAUUCCAGGUGUAGCGGUGAAAUGCGCAGAGAUAUGGAGGAACACCAGUGGCGAAGGCGACUUUCUGGUCUGUAACUGACGCUGAUGUGCGAAAGCGUGGGGAUCAAACAGG
rnacentral:rRNA from 1 species